UCAGGUCUGCUAUCAAUAAUAUCUAUGAUGUCCACUAUGAGACCACAGGACCAGCUGAAACCCGCCAGAACCAAUAUGACCGACUGGAGCUCGCGCAAGGAUUUGCCGGGCCACGGGGUGAUCUUUUGACGUCACCGUCUGAACUUCCGCCCCAAGUUUCAUACUAACUCCCCCUAAAUUUUCACAUGCCACCCAUGAAGAGGCAACUGCACAUGGGCAAGGGACUUUCCAAACAUCCCCGUUCCCUGGCCAAUCACUAAUCUACCCUGAAACACUUUCCUCCAAAUCCUUCUUUUACAAAUAUGGCUUUCAAGCCAGUACAAGGAAGACAGUUUUGAGCCCAUCUCCUGUCACGUUGCUUGGCCGUUUUGCAAUAAAC
rnacentral:lncRNA from 1 species